GCCCAGCAGGAGGGGGGCUCCGAAGAAGGGGGGGACCUAAUAACCCUAUAGUGCCAGGAAAACAAGUUUGUUUCCUGGCACUAUAGUGUUCCUUUAAUAUAAAUGUGAACAUAACUAGCAUCUUUCUCAAUCAAUGCAUAAGAUACAGCUAAUGUAAUGUUUCCUGAAUCCACCAUCCUCAUUGAUAUUCUGAACUUUCAACUGUAAUUAAUUUAUUGCUGCUGUAAUAUAAAACUGUGAAACUCAAACCCAAAAAUCUGAAUCUAUUUUUGUAAAAAACAAAAAUAUUUAAGAACAUCUUUCUCAAGAUUUACAGUGAUCCAGGCGUAUUAAAACCAUAGCGAAUAGUGAGUAAAAUGGGAGUUUUUCCUUGGUGACCAAAUUGGUAUCUGAAUUAACACGUUGAUGCACUACUAAACUUUUCUGUUUAUUUUACUGUGGAUAUGUCAACAUUUAAACAGUAUAGAGGAGAUUUGUCAAGGCAAAAACAGUAGCUGACUUAGGGCAGAGUGCUACAUAAGGAGCUAUCACCAUGUGAAACCAUAUGAAGGUUUCUUAAACCUUAAACCAGAAAUUAAAAUAAUCACCCUCUUAACAUAGCCUCCAAAUCACCCGCAACAGGCACUAGUGUAUCUAUGAAUUUGAUGGGAUCCAAAUACCAGUGACUGACGAUUUGAAGCGGUUCACCUAAAUCACUAAGCACACUGUCAUCUUUUGAACUAGUGGUUUAAAAAGCAGUCCUUAAAGGAUCACUAUAGUGUCAGGAAAACAAAACGGUUAAAACCCCUUCAGCUAC